rnacentral:rRNA from 1 species
AUUGAACGCUGGCGGCAUGCCUUACACAUGCAAGUCGAACGGCAGCGGACCUUCGGGUGCCGGCGAGUGGCGAACGGGUGAGUAAUGCAUCGGAACGUGCCAUUGAGUGGGGGAUAACGUAGCGAAAGUUACGCUAAUACCGCAUAUUCUGUGAGCAGGAAAGCAGGGGACCGCAAGGCCUUGCGCUCUUUGAGCGGCCGAUGUCAGAUUAGCUAGUUGGUGAGGUAAAGGCUUACCAAGGCGACGAUCUGUAGCGGGUCUGAGAGGAUGAUCCGCCACACUGGAACUGAGACACGGUCCAGACUCCUACGGGAGGCAGCAGUGGGGAAUUUUGGACAAUGGGCGCAAGCUUGAUCCAGCCAUGCCGCGUGAGUGAAGAAGGCCUU